rnacentral:lncRNA from 1 species
AAGAAGCAACAUCAUACAGCUUAGAGGUCAGGGGUGAUCUUCUGUAGAUGCCCGAGCAGAACAUUGGCAAUCAGGAGGAUGAGUACAGGCAGCUUAUCUGUGAACAAGCUGAGCUGCAACUGAGCAGCAAAAGAGCAGUAGAGCAGAUAGUGGAGAGGAUUAUGAGUAGAAAAAUAAUGACCUCUACGGAGUCGCACGAAAAGGGUAUGGCUGACAUCCUUCCAUCCUACAGGGAGAUACUGUUGCAAAGUUUAAAGGAAGCUUUCCCUAAGAUGUACAAGCUGAGGAACCUAGAGAACAUGCUGGUAGCAGGACCUAAAUAAUGCUAUGGGGCAUAGAACAGUAGGUAGCAGGGCUUCACGGAUGACCGGAAGAAAGGGAAAGGCACCAGCAGUCCUACCUUGCCUAAAUUGAGGGAAGAAAUUGUCACCUCCACCAGUUUACCUCAUUCAACCUUCACUGCAAUCAAGGAGGAAGCUUUAUCAUCCCUAUCUGACAGAACUGAGGACAUGGCUGAAGGAGAUUAAAAGCACAUUUGGAAAUACCGCUUUAGAUACUCUACAAGUUAACCUUGGAAUAAACCAGACUAUCAGAGGGCAUUGUCACUCACUGACGGAUUUCUUUCAUUCCUCUCUGCUUUGGCAUUAGGCAGUCAGCCACAUCAAGAGACUUCAUAAGAAACAGCCCUGUAACUCAUUUGUUGCUUUCCUGUAAGAAUGUUGUCAAGGACAUUAUUUACUUCAUUACAAAGGGUCUUCUUUGUGCUGGAGAAACUUCUCUCAGAUCUCUGUGCCAGGAAGAAUGGUGUUUCUCUCAAACACUGGGUUUGAUAUUACAGAUAGUAUAAACUAUAUAUCCAGGCACAUCCUCCUUUAGUGAGUAUAUACAAACUGGCUUCACUUCAUUUUUUUCAUCUUCCAACUUCUCCAUAAUAAUAUUUACUUUUAAAAAUGUUCUUAACAAUGAAUAUGACCAAGACAAUUUGAGGAAACCAAUCAUAAACUUUGUGUCAAUAUAGUAAGCAUGUUUCCUGCAGGGAGAUACCACUGUUCCCACUAAAAUAGAACACAACAAAAGGAGGCAGGAGAGAAAUGAAUGACUUAGGACCUGUCUAGGUUGAAAAGGCAAACUAGAAGUGGGGCACACCUAACUUGUUUAAAAAGACUUUGUCAACUAUUAUUUGUGUACUCUUGGCAUUUCUGUGUUCUCCUCAUUCCUAUUUCAUUCCUAUUCCCCUUUAAUAUUUCCUUUACAUACCUGAUACCUUCCCUCCCAAAAAUGGUGUGUGUCUAUGUAGUUCCUUGAUGAUUUUGUCAACGAAUAAUAAACCCUGGGUUUUGGAUAAGGAGGUGAAAAGAAAGGGCUCUGCUUGAUUCUGCACAGGGCUAUACACCACAGGGCGAGGAAAAAAGGAAAAUCCAAAUAUGUUUAGUCAGGAUGUUUUCCUAAACUAUUGAAGAAAUCUUAUCUGGCCUCCUCUUAAAAUAUGUAAGAACUGUUUCCAGCUGCUUGUUAUUUGGCUGUGCUUAUUUUAGACCAAAGCCAAUAAAAAAAAUGAGACUCUUCCCACAGUUUACUUAUUAAUUAUACAGGAGAAAAUAGUAGCUUAACAGGAGAACUCUGGUGGACACCCUUUUACCCAACUUAGCAAUACUACCAGUGGGAUGAACAGGCACCAUGUGUCUGCUUGUGUGACAGUGUGACAAAACACAAUACCACUUACCUUUCAUUCCUGAGGGGAGAGAAAAGUGCAUCCUGAAUCUAAUUAUAGGGAAACAUGGGAUAAACCCAAACUGAGGGACAUUCUACAAAAUAAAUGGCCUGUAUUCUUCAAAACAAUAUCAUGAAAGACAAAAAAAGGUAAGAAAACAUUCCAGAUUAAAGGAGAUUAAAGAGUCAUAAAAACUAAACCUAACACAAGAUCCCAGAUUGGGCUCUGAACCAGGGAGAAAAAUGCUAUAAAGAAUAUUAUUGGAGUAGUAGCUCGUGCCUGUAGUCCCAGAUACUCAUGGGGGAGGCUAAGGAGGGAGGAUAGCUUGAUCCCAGGAGUUCAAGGCUGCAAUGAGCUAUGAGUAGAACACUGCACUCCAGCCUAGGCAUCACAGCUAAACCCUGCCACAUAUCCCCCAACCAAGGAAAAGAUAUUUUUGAAGCCUCUGGCAAAAUUAGAAUAAAGAUCUGUAGAUUUGAUAAGGGAUUGUAUUAAUAUUUCACAUUUUGAUAAUUAUAACAUUGUUAUGUGAGCAAAUAUUCAUGUUUUUAGGAAAUACACACUGAACUAUUUAGGGGUAAAGAAGAACUGUGCCUACAGCUUACCCUCAAAUGAUUCAGAAAAAUAGAAUCACAUAAUCAUUUUAUGUAGAUGGUAGAGAUAAAUAUAGACAUAGGUGCAUUUACCCCAUGUUCACGAUGCAGCACGUUCAUCACACAGCACGAUGGGAUAGAUGGAUGGAUUCACAGAUGGAUGGAUAGUUAAAGAGAUGAAAGUAAAUGAGGCAAAAGGUUAAAAACUGCGAAUCCAGGUGAAGAGUAUACAGUAGUUCUUUGUACUAUUAUUGCAAUUUUCUCUGUUUGAAAUUAUCACAAAAUGUUUGAGGUUUGUUUUGGAAAAAAUAAUAGCCACAGAGUAUUUUUUUUCCCUAAGUAAUAGUGCAUGAAGUGUU